UGGCUUCUUUCAAACAAAUUAACACUUAAAACAAAAUUAUUUGAAAACGUUAUAGCUGAAAACGCUCGAAAACAUUACCGUGCAUGCGCACAUAAUCAUAGUUUAAUACGCACGGAUCAUGGAAGUGGGGGUACAUGCAUGCGCAGAAAAACGAAUUACAAAAUUUAUCCAUUUUCUGUUUCUAAGUAUAUUGCUAUUGGUUUUUAAUAUCCAGAUGACAAUACAUAGUUCUACAUAUUAUUCAUAAUCUCAUCAGAUAUAAAUAAAUAAACGACAGUGUAUAAUUUACAUUAUAGCAUGCAUGUUCAAUAAUAUAUCUCAUAUUCAAGGACUUUGUCUUUAUUUUUCUUGCAUACGUUGUACUUCUGAUGAAAUUUUGACCAGUUAGGAUGACACAUUAAUCUCUAAAUAGAAACCUGGACCAAGCAUAUAUUAACUAUAAUUAGGCCAAAACACUGAUAUAAAAAUUACAAUUGCAUGCUGUUUGUAUAACAUCACAAAUAAGCCGAUGCACGUCAAGUCAUGGUGGCUAUGUUGGUGGUAUUUCAACAAAAUUUGGGAGUUUACGCAUGUAAGACGGCAACGUCAGGACGACGGCUAUCAAUACAAUGUCACUAAUCCUGUGGCGUAAAAUAAAUGAAUAAUUAAAAGUAUAGCAGGAGUUUUAGACGGCAAAAUGCAUGUUUUCACAUCUCUAGAGUACGCUAGCAUUUCAAGCCGUGACAGGCAAUUUUUUAGCAGAGUUGAUCAAAAUUGCUCUAAAGGUUAAAGCUCUGUUUUACUCGUUCGAAACUGUAUUAAAUUCAUACGAAAGUAAAUGCAAGACAAUAUUUCCAUAAAAUCAUUCAUUUCAAACAGUUUGUUUAGUCGUUGUCCUGACGCCGCCGUCUUAAGCCUGCCGCACACGAGAGCAACUUGCUGAGCUAACCGCCUCGGGUGGCAGCUAGCCCAGCUAUGCAUUUUCGCCGCACACGUUGGGAAAACUACUCAACAACAACAUAAUUGACAAAAUCGUUUGCAUUUUCCUCCGUUUUGUUUAAAGUCACAUGAAGAAACUAUGGUUUCUCAUUGGCUAAUUGAUGCAAGCAGCUCAGCACAUAGCUCACAAUAUCCGCAGACGUUGAGAUUUUUUCCUCGCGAGGUGAAAAAUAUCAAACAGGAUAAAUAUUAAUUUUUCCUCAAGGCCUCGAGAGGUCAAAUCCUCACGAAAACUAUCUGCGCACGAGAGAAACUUGCUGAGCUAGCUGCCACGCGAGGCGGUUAGCUCAGCAAGUUGCUCUCGUGUGCGGCAGGCUUUGCAUGCGUAAACUCCCUAAUAUUACCAACAAGGCCGCCGUUUCAUUGUCUUUUAAUUACUGACAGAUUGAAUGCAAUACAUCCACGUGUAUGUCAAAACAACGAGUGACUGCACAAAAUGGAGAUAAUACAUUCCGAUAAUUGAAUCCGAUUGGGUGGCACUAUUGCUAUGCCAAGUAUUAUUCAAAAUGAUUCACGGUAGCCAAAUAUAAUGCAAGCAUUAGACAAACUAGGCGGUUUAACAAGUGUUUCCUAACUAGCCAAUUUAUUUCGACGCGAAUUCAAUUCAGGCCUCUUAUAGCCGUCGUAUUAAAUUUCGUACUGUCACAACGGAACCUCCAUCUUUGAGGGGCAAAGAGCCUCGUGUUGUUGAGCUAAGCUAGCGACCGUCUAGCUGAUAUACGACUUCUGUCAGAGAUAACUGUAUUGC